CCUACGGGAGGCAGCAGUGAGGAAUAUUGGUCAAUGGGCUUACGCCUGAACCAGCCAAGUCGCGUGAGGGAAUAAGGCCCUACGGGUUGUAAACCUCUUUUGCCGGGGAGCAAGGGCCGCUACGUGUCCCGUCCCGGAGAGUACCCGGAGAAAAAGCAUCGGCUAACUCCGUGCCAGCAGCCGCGGUAAUACGGAGGAUGCGAGCGUUAUCCGGAUUUAUUGGGUUUAAAGGGUGCGUAGGCGGGCUUUCAAGUCAGCGGUAAAAUCGCGGGGCUCAACCUCGUUCCGCCGUUGAAACUGGCGGUCUUGAGUGGGCGAGAAGUAUGCGGAAUGCGUGGUGUAGCGGUGAAAUGCAUAGAUAUCACGCAGAACCCCGAUUGCGAAGGCAGCAUACCGGCGCCCUACUGACGCUGAGGCACGAAAGCGUGGGUAUCGAACAGGAUUAGAUACCCUUGUAGUC
rnacentral:rRNA from 1 species